rnacentral:rRNA from 1 species
AGAGAGAGACAUGCGCGCAUAUCAAUAAGCGGAGGAAAAGAAACUAACAAGGAUUCCCCUAGUAACGGCGAGUGAAGCGGGAAGAGCUCAAAUUUGAAAUCUUAAAGGGUUUCCCUUUACGAAUUGUAGUUUAAAGAAGUGUUUUCUGUUGAGGUUUUGGUAAAAGUUCUUUGGAAUAGGACAUCAUAGAGGGUGAGAAUCCCGUAUUUGACCUUUACUUUCAACUUUGUGAUACACUUUCAAAGAGUCGGAUUGUUUGGGAACGCAGUCCAAAAUGGGUGGUAAAUUCCAUCUAAAGCUAAAUAUUGGCGAGAGACCGAUAGCGAACAAGUACCGUGAGGGAAAGAUGAAAAGAACUUUGAAAAGAGAGUUAAACAGUACGUGAAAUUGUCAAAAGGGAAGCGUUUGACACCAGUGUUGUUUUUCUGAAAAUCAAUUAAAGAACUGUUUAUGCUAAGUUGUUUAGACUUUAUCAGCUAACUGUUUAGUUUUGAGCUUUUCUUUAAUGCACUUUUCAGUUAACAAGUCAACAUCAAUUUCUUUUGCUGUAAAAAAGCUUGAGGAAGGUGGCUUGAGAUUCGUCUUAAGUGUUUAUAGCCUCUUGCCUAUGCAGUCGGAGAGAUUGAGGUCUGCAGCGUAGAUCCUUCGGGGCUAAAUGCAUUUGUGCUAAGUUAUAGCAUUUUAUAGACAACUUGUUGACUAUGAUUUGUCUUGUAGCUUACUCGCUUAUGUUAUUUUACCUACGCUUAGGAUGUUGACGCAUGAGAUAUACGC